rnacentral:lncRNA from 1 species
UUAGUGAUCAUCCUCGUCUUGCAUAGUAUAUAACAUCAAUGAUACGAAUACGGAAUGGCCUCGUGACAGAACUUCAAUUUCAACUUCAACUUCAAAGCUUAGGGAUUUGUUUACAUAACCCAUCAAUAUAUAUUAUUAUUAGCCAAAACAUAAAUAUGUUUGUCGGCAAAAGUAUAUCAGUUACAGAUCACGGGGGAAAAAUCAUGGGAUUUGAUUUCGAUAAAUCACCUGAUUUUAUUUGAUCUCAUGUCAGUCCAUGAUUUGGUUCAUGCAGAAGUAAAGGACAAUAUGCUGAUUAGUUCGGUGAGAAAAUUCGAUCGAAGUAAGAGCACCAAAUUGAAUUUUCCAAACAAAAAACCUAUCCACAUGCUGACAUGCAUGCAAUUUAUGAAAAAAUUCAGUAAUAGUUGUUUAAUUAUGCAAAUUCAUAUGAUUUUAACUCGUGCCUUUUAGAAAAAAAAAAAAGUUGUUUCUAUCAUUACAAUUCAAAAGCGGACACUUACAUGUCUUCAAAUGUAUAAACUUCUGCCACCCGCCGUCACGUAAGAAGCGACACGAGAGUGAGGACAUGCAAGCAGUGCUAAAGAAAUCUUCUAUCCGCAACCUUUUCCUUUUCACGGUUGGUUGUAUGGGAUAAGAAUAAAUAAUAAGGUUGAUGGAAACAAAUUAAUCAAUUAAA